rnacentral:rRNA from 1 species
AUCCUUUAAAGAAAGCGUAAUAGCUCACUGGUCUAGUGAUUUUGCGCGGAAAAUAUAACGGGGCUAAAGUAAGUACCGAAGCUGUAGACUUGAUUUUAUCAAGUGGUAGGAGAGCGUUCUAUUUGCGCCGAAGGUAUACCGGUAAGGAGUGCUGGAGCGAAUAGAAGUGAGCAUGCAGGCAUGAGUAGCGAUAAUUAAUGUGAGAAUCAUUAACGCCGUAAACCCAAGGUUUCCUACGCGAUGCUCGUCAUCGUA